ACGGUCAAGGUAGGCGGAAAUGUGUAAUGUAGCGGUGAAAUGCUUAGAUAUUACACAGAAACACCGAUUGCGAAGGCAGCUUACUGGGCCAUUACUGACGCUGAUGCACGAAAGCGUGGGGAGCGAACAGGAUUAGAUACCCUGGUAGUCCACGCCGUAAACGAUGAUCACUCGCUGUUAGCGAUACACAGUUAGCGGCUAAGCAAAAGCAUUAAGUGAUCCACCUGGGGAGUACGGCCGCAAGGCUGAAACUCAAAGGAAUUGACGGGGGCCCGCACAAGCGGAGGAACAUGUGGUUUAAUUCGAUGAUACGCGAGGAACCUUACCUGGGCUUAAAUGUAGAGUGCAUUUCGCUGAAAGGCGGAUUCCCUUCGGGGCUCUUUGCAAGGUGCUGCAUGGUUGUCGUCAGCUCGUGCCGUGAGGUGUCGGGUUAAGUCCCAUAACGAGCGCAACCCUUAUCGUUAGUUGCCAGCGGGUAAUGCCGGGAACUCUAACGAAACUGCCGGUGUAAACCGUGAGGAAGGUGGGGAUGACGUCAAAUCAGCACGGCCCUUAUGUCCAGGGCUACACACGUGUUACAAUGGCCGGUACAGAGGGCAGCUACCUGGAGACAGGAUGCGAAUCUCCAAAGCCGGUCUCAGUUCGGAUCGGAGUCUGCAACUCGACUCCGUGAAGCUGGAUUCGCUAGUAAUCGCGCAUCAGCCAUGGCGCGGUGAAUACGUUCCCGGGCCUUGUACACACCGCCCGUCAAGCCAUGGAAGUUGGGGGUACCUGAAGUCCGUAACCGUAAGGAGCGGCCUAGGGUAAAACUAGUGACUGGGGCUAGGUCGUAACAAGGUA
rnacentral:rRNA from 1 species